UACGUAGGGGGCGAGCGUUGUCCGAAUUUACUGGGCGUAAAGCGCGCGUAGGCGGUUCUUUAAGUCUGGGGUGAAAGGUUCAGCGCUCAACGCGAACAGUGCCCUGGAGACUGGGGGACUUGAGUGUGGCAGGGGGGACCGGAAUUCCUGGUGUAGCGGUGAAAUGCGUAGAUAUCGAGAGGAACACCCGUGGCGAAAGCGCUCUGCUAGGCCGCAACUGACACUGAGGGACGAAAGCUAGGGGAGCGAAUGGG
rnacentral:rRNA from 1 species